rnacentral:rRNA from 1 species
UACAGAGGUCUCAAGCGUUUGUUCGGAUUCAUUGGGCGUAAAGGGUGCGUAGGCGGCUCUUUAAGUCGGAGGUGAAAUCCUGGAGCUCAACUCCAGAACUGCCUUCGAUACUGUAGAGCUUGAGUUCGGGAGAGGUGAGUGGAACUGCGAGUGUAGAGGUGAAAUUCGUAGAUAUUCGCAAGAACACCAGUGGCGAAGGCGGCUCACUGGCCCGAUACUGACGCUGAGGUGCGAAAGCGUGGGGAGCAAACAGG